rnacentral:tRNA from 1 species
GAUAAAGUAAACAGUUAUGUUGUUAGGUUUGUAUCCUAAAAAUGGGGGAUACCUUCUUAUUU